rnacentral:rRNA from 1 species
AAUCAACGCUGGCGGCGUGCCUCAGACAUGCAAGUCGAACGCGAAAUUUCCCCGCAAGGGGAGAAAGUAGAGUGGCGCACGGGUGAGUAACACGUAGGUAAUUUGCCUUCGGGUGGGGAAUAACAGCCGGAAACGGCUGCUAAUACCGCAUAAUGCAGCGGCUCGACAUCGAGACAGUUGUUAAAGCGGGGAUUCGCAAGAACCUCGCGCCUGAAGAGAAGCCUGCGGCAGAUUAGCUAGUUGGUAGGGUAACGGCCUACCAAGGCAACGAUCUGUAGCCGGCCUGAGAGGGCGGUCGGCCACACUGACACUGACAUACGGUCAGACUCCUACGGGAGGCAGCAGUCGGGAAUUUUGGGCAAUGGGCGAAAGCCUGA